rnacentral:rRNA from 1 species
GAUGAACGCUGGCGGCGUGCUUAACACAUGCAAGUCGAACGGAAAGGCCCUGCUUUUGUGGGGUGCUCGAGUGGCGAACGGGUGAGUAACACGUGAGUAACCUGCCCUUGACUUUGGGAUAACUUCAGGAAACUGGGGCUAAUACCGGAUAGGAGCUCCUGCUGCAUGGUGGGGGUUGGAAAGUUUCGGCGGUUGGGGAUGGACUCGCGGCUUAUCAGCUUGUUGGUGGGGUAGUGGCUUACCAAGGCUUUGAAGGGUAGCCGGCCUGGGAGGGUGACCGGCCACAUUGGGACUGAGGUACGGCCCAGACUCCUACGGGAGGCAGCAGUGGGGAAUAUUGCACAAUGGGCGGAAGCCUGAUGCAGCAACGCCGCGUGCGGGAUGACGGCCUUCGGGUUGUAAACCGCUUUCGCCUGUGACGAAGCGUGAGUGACGGUAAUGGGUAAAGAAGCACCGGCUAACUACGUG